CGACGGGGAUGAGUUCGAACCCAGGCAGGCCAGUAAUGGGUUAGCGGUCCAUCGCCUUAACCACUCGGCCACCUCGUC